ensembl:lncRNA PVT1 Pvt1 oncogene
AGGGCUGGGUCGCGUGUCCUGGCAGGGCCACAGGAAGAGCAUACACAUCUCCUGCGUCUUCGUAUUUUGCCUGAUCUUUUGGCCAGAAGGAGAUUAAAAAGAUGCCCCUCAAGAUGGCUGUGCCUGUCAGCUGCAUGGAGCUUCGUUCAAGUAUUUUCUGAGCCUGAUGGAUUUACAGUGAUCUUCAGUGGUCUGGGGAAUAACGCUGGUGGAACCAUGCACUGGAAUGACACACGCCCGGCACAUUUCAGGAUACUAAAAGUGGUUUUAAGGGAGGCUGUGGCUGAAUGCCUCAUGGAUUCUUACAGCUUGGAUGUCCAUGGGGGACGAAGGACUGCAGCUGGCUGAGAGGGUUGAGAUCUCUGUUUACUUAGAUCUCUGCCAACUUCCUUUGGGUCUCCCUAUGGAAUGUAAGACCCCGACUCUUCCUGGUGAAGCAUCUGAUGCACGUUCCAUCCGGCGCUCAGCUGGGCUUGAGGCUUCCUCUGUUGAAUUUUCUCCAGAUUCCUGGGAACACCACCAUGGAGGGCCUGGCCUUUGGCGGUGGACAGUCUGUGGCUGGGUGGGAACGUCAGGAGUGGGGCCUGCCUCUUUGCUGGGAAUGCCGUGCACUCCCAGCCCACUUGCCCCAUGCCAGCACUCGAGGCAGGACUUCGCAGGUGAGCAGUAACGGAAAUCAGCCCCGUUUAUUCCUCCCAGCACCUGCCUUAUCCAACUCCCCACGCUGUGGCUGAGUCCCAGCCUGCUAUGGAAGCAUCACUGGACUCCCAUUGAACUCUGUGCAGAUUCGCUGUUCGUAGACAUGGUACCUGAUGGACACCAAGCUACGUACAGCUUCAAGGCCCCUUCUUUCUUUGCUAAUAAAAAAUAAAAAAUAAAAACAUAA